AACCCAUGGUGAGGGCAUCUUCGUAAAAGGUCCUUAUAUCUCUCCUACGCAUUGUAGAGUGUUUCUAAAUCCAUCUGUACAAAAGAAGAGAUAUCAUUGCGUAAUUU
rfam:Gossypium hirsutum cultivar TM-1 chromosome 13, whole genome shotgun sequence